GCCUAGGUGGCUUAGUUGGUUAAGCGUCUGACUCUUGAUCUCACAGUUUGUGGGUUCGAGCCCCGUGUCAGGCU
rnacentral:tRNA from 1 species